rnacentral:rRNA from 1 species
CACUUCUAAGGAAGGCAGCAGGCGCGCAAAUUACCCAAUCCUGACUCAGGGAGGUAGUGACAAGAAAUAACAAUAAACCGGCUUAUGCCGGUUUAAUUGGAAUGAGUACAAUUUAAACAUCUUAACGAGGAACAAUUGGAGGGCAAGUCUGGUGCCAGCAGCCGCGGUAAUUCCAGCUCCAAUAGCGUAUACUAAAGUUGUUGCAGUUAAAAAGCUCGUAGUUGGAUUUCUGUGGGGACGGAGCGGCCGGCCGCAACUCGCGGUUCGAGCGAGCGCUUUCCCUACAUCCUGCCGCGAACCGUGCUACCAUUAGUUUGGUGGCGCCGGGGAUCGGCUCGAUUACUUUGAGAAAAAUAGAGUGUUCAAAGCAGGCCACACGCCUUGAAUAAGUUAGCAUGGAAUAAUAACUAAGGACUUCGGUUCUAUUUUGUUGGUGUUCGGGACUGAAGUAAUGAUUGAUAGGGACAGUUGGGGCGGUCUGUAUUCCAAAGCGAGAGGUGAAAUUCUUAGACCUUCGGAAGACAAACAGCUGCGAAAGCGUUCCGCAAGGAUGUUCCCUUUGAUCAAGAACGAAAGUUGGGGGAUCGAAGACGAUCAGAUACCGUCGUAGUCUCAACUAUAAACUAUACCAGCUAGGGAUCGGCCAACGUUAUUCUAUACCGACUUGGUCGGCACCUUAUGAGAAAUCAAAGCAUCUGGGUUCCGGGGGGAGUAUGGUCGCAAGGCUGAAACUUAAAGGAAUUGACGGAAGGGCACCACCAGCCGUGGAGCCUGUGGCUUAAUUUGACUCAACACGGGAAAACUUACCAGGUCCAGACAUAGUAAGGAUUGACAGAUUGAUAGCUCUUUCUUGAUUCUGUGGGUGGUGGUGCAUGGCCGUUCUUAGUUGGUGGAGUGAUUUGUCUGGUUAAUUCCGUUAACGAACGAGACCCCAGCCUGCUAAAUAGCGCGCGUGAGCUUUGCUCGCGGCGAGCUUCUUAGAGGGACUAUGAUGCGCGAUAGCACAUGGAAGUUUGGGGCAAUAACAGGUCUGUGAUGCCCUUAGAUGUUCUGGGCCGCACACGGGCUACACUGGCGCCUGCAACGAGCAUAUCAGCUGGCCCGAGAGGGUCUUGGCUAAUCUUUUGAACCGGCGCCGUGCUUGGGAUUGACCUUUGCAAUUGUUGGUCAUGCAACGAGGAAUGCCUUGUAAACGCGAGUCAUCAGCUCGCAUUGAAUACGUCCCUGCCCUUUGUACACACCGCCCGUCGCUCCUACCGAUGAAUGUUCCGAUGAAAUUUUCGGAGAGCACCUGUGAACUUGGCUCUGCCUUGCGAACGGGAGGCUCAAAGUCACUUAAAUCUGAACAUU